AUUGGACGCUAGCGGCAUGGCUAAAACAUGCAAGUCGAACGGACCUCGCAAGAGGUUAGUGGCGGAAGGGUCAGUAAUACGAUCGAAUGUACCCCGAGGUGAGGGAUAGGCAUGGGAAACUGUGCGUAAUACCUCAUAAGCACUAAGGUGGAAAGAUUUAUCGCCUUGGGAGCAGCGAUCGUCCUAUCAGGUAGUUGGCG
rnacentral:rRNA from 1 species